UACGGGGGGGUAAGCGUUGUUCGGAAUUACUGGGCGUAAAGGGCUCGUAGGCGGCCAACUAAGUCGGACGUGAAAUCCCUCAGCUUAACUGGGAACUGCGUCCGAUACUGGAUGGCUUGGAUUUGGGAGAGGGAUGCGGAAUUCCAGGUGUAGCGGUGAAAUGCGUAGAUAUCUGGAGGAACACCGGUGGCGAAGGCGGGUCUCUGGGCCGAUACUGACGCUGAGGAGCGAAAGCGUGGGGAGCGAACAGG
rnacentral:rRNA from 1 species